GAUGAACGCUAGCUACAGGCUUAACACAUGCAAGUCGAGGGGCAGCAUGGUCUUAGCUUGCUAAGGCCGAUGGCGACCGGCGCACGGGUGAGUAACACGUAUCCAACCUGCCGUCUACUCUUGGACAGCCUUCUGAAAGGAAGAUUAAUACAAGAUGGCAUCAUGAGUCCGCAUGUUCACAUGAUUAAAGGUAUUCCGGUAGACGAUGGGGAUGCGUUCCAUUAGAUAGUAGGCGGGGUAACGGCCCACCUAGUCUUCGAUGGAUAGGGGUUCUGAGAGGAAGGUCCCCCACAUUGGAACUGAGACACGGUCCAAACUCCUACGGGAGGCAGCAGUGAGGAAUAUUGGUCAAAUGGGGCGAGAGCCUGAACCAGCCAAGUAGCGUGAAGGAUGACUGCCCUAUGGGUUGUAAAACUUCUUUUAUAAAGGAAUAAAGUCGGGUAUGGAUACCCGUUUGCAUGUACUUUAUGAAUAAGGAUCGGCUAACUCCGUGCCAG
rnacentral:rRNA from 1 species